UGUCGGGGCUAGGACUAAUCCCGGACUGAGGGGUCCCCUUCCGACGCAGAUGGGACAAAGAAAUCAGCGGUGAACAGGAAGAAGGAAAGAAGGACUGCAUAGUCACCAGCCUUGUUUGAGGAUUAUGUCAAAGGUCUGUGUGAAUGUGAGGCCAGGACCAAAUGUCAACAACCAAAGACCAACAACCAUGGGAGAUGAAGAAACUGAGGCCUGGAGAGAAUAAGGAGCUGCCAGUGUCACACAACUACAGAGAGAGAGAGCUGGGCUCUCCUGCUUUCCACUGGCCCUAUGCUGGAUGCUGAAGACACCCUGGGGGAUAAAGCGCAGCCACUGUCCUCGAGGGGCCUCAGAUGCACAGAUGAGAGCCACAGAAGAACCAGGUGGUGUUGACACCACUUGGGCAUCUCUGUGGGACCCACAAGGGCCUGGCCAGGAUCCUCCCAAGCCUUGGCCCCAUUUGGGUUGCGAGAAUUAAAUAAUCCAUAUGGAAGUGAUGUGCAAACAGUCUGGUGGCCUCUGUGAUGCUCAGGGCGGUGGGAGAGACGAGGAAACCUAAACUCAAGAGAGACGGGAAUCACCCAAGGUCACACCUGCAGUGAGUGACAGGGCCGAAAUGUGAAUUCAAGCGUGGGAACCUCCCGGCCCUGCCAGAGGACGGCAGCUUUCCCGGGCACCGGGAGUUAAUGGAGGGAGGCAAAGCACACGUUCGCGCAGCACCGCGGCAGGCCCCACGGAGCCAGGCCUCCGAGCGGGCGUUAUCCAGCCCAUUUAACGACGAGGACACUGAGGCCAGAGACGGCAGUGACCGAUCCGAGGCCAACGGGCCGGUGUCCGGACUCGAACCCACGGUCAAUAGAGCCUGCAGGAGAGCCAGCCUCCCGCCCCGCCGCGCCCGCCGCCAUUAGCGCCCACAGCCCUAGCUGCGCCCUCGCCCUGCCCCGCCCUACCCC